AAGGUGUGCCUUAGUAGCGUGACGGGAGAAACACCCGAAGCGCCAAUAGGUUGCAAAAAUCGGUGGCUGCGACUGUUUAUNAAAACACAGCACUCUGCUAACACGAAAGUGGACGUAUAGGGUGUGACGCCUGCCCGGUGCUGGAAGGUUAAGUGAUGGGGUGCAAGCUCCUGAUCGAAGCCCCAGUAAACGGCGGCCGUAACAAUAACGGUCCUAAGGUAGCGAAAUUCCUUGUCGGGUAAGUUCCGACCUGCACGAAUGGCGUAACGAUGGCCACACUGUCUCCUCCCGAGACUCAGCGAAGUUGAAAUGUUUGUGAUGAUGCAAUCUACCCGCGGCUAGACGGAAAGACCCCAUGAACCUUUACUGUAGCUUUGCAUUGGACUGUGAACCGAUCUGUGUAGGAUAGGUGGGAGGCAUUGAAGCGGGGCCGCUAGGUCUCGUGGAGCCAACGUUGAAAUACCACCCUGAUUUGUUUGCGGUUCUAACCUUCGCCCGUGAUCCGGGCGGGGAACAGUGCAUGGUAGGCAGUUUGACUGGGGCGGUCUCCUCCCAAAGGGUAACGGAGGAGUUCGAAGGUACGCUAGGCACGGUCGGAAAUCGUGCUAAUAGUGCAAGGGCAUAAGCGUGCUUAACUGCGAGACAGACACGUCGAGCAGAUACGAAAGUAGGACCUAGUGAUCCGGUGGUUCUGUAUGGAAGGGCCAUCGCUCAACGGAUAAAAGGUACUCUGGGGAUAACAGGCUGAUACCGCCCAAGAGUUCAUAUCGACGGCGGUGUUUGGCACCUCGAUGUCGGCUCAUCUCAUCCUGGGGCUGUAGCCGGUCCCAAGGGUAUGGCUGUUCGCCAUUUAAAGAGGUACGUGAGCUGGGUUUAAAACGUCGUGAGACAGUUUGGUCCCUAUCUGCCGUGGGCGCUGGAAGAUUGACGGGGGCUGCUCCUAGUACGAGAGGACCGGAGUGGACGCACCUCUGGUGUACCGGUUGUCACGCCAGUGGCAUCGCCGGGUAGCUAUGUGCGGAAGAGAUAACCGCUGAAAGCAUCUAAGCGGGAAACUUGCCUGAAGAUUAGUCUUCCCGGAGGCUUGACCUCCCUAAAGGGUCGUCCAAGACCAGGACGUUGAUAGGCU
rnacentral:rRNA from 1 species